UUAUUAAAUUAACUUUUUACUCCGACGUAAGAAUGCAGUGUUUUGAUGACCUCCGGGGGGAAUGCCAUUUCUGGCAGGGUCGCCCCCGAAGCAACAUGAUGGGUUCACAAAGGGUUGGAGGUCGGGAUUGCUCCCUCACUCAGUAAUGAUCCCUCCGCAGGUUCACCUACGGAGA
rnacentral:misc_RNA from 1 species